CUUUGAGCUUGUAGGUAUGAUUUUGAAUUUUUGUCUUGUGCAAACUUGGGGAUGGUCGCAUAUUUAGGGUUUUUGUUUUAUUUUUCUCUGUUCGGCAACUCGCAGCACUUGUUGGUCCCCUCAGUUCAAAAUGGUUUCUUUCCAUUUUAUUCUUCAUUUAUAAUUGAAUAUAACAAUAACCCAUUUCAAAUUAUGGUUCAAAAACCAAGUUAUUUGAUUUUGUUGUAUUAAUCGAGGUGCAAGAGACGUUGGUGGAUUUGUUAGGCAUGGUGGUACAACGUCCAUGCCUGUCGAUGGCCUUGUGCUAUAAUUCCGACAUCAAGCCUGACGUCUUCUGCUCCGCCAUAUCCAACCUCCCCUAUAUUUCUUUGGCUCCUUUGUUGUAGAGCACCUGUCAGUUAUUUAUGUUUCAAGCUACUAAAGGCAAGUUUUGAUGAGGUCAACCAGCACUGUCCUAUAGGUAAUUGUACUUAAUCAAUAUCCUGGUGAAGCACCUUAUUUGUGUAAGCAUCUUUAGUAGUUAUCUUUUAUUUAAGGAUAAGCAUCUUUAAUUGUUCAAAACUCAUUCAUUUUAGCCAUUUUGCCAAUUCUUCUUGAAAUGACCACAUUUCCAAGAAGAUUAAAUCCUUCACAAUUCACAUAUAAGUUUCUCACUGUGCUGUUGGGGGUUUAAUCCUUGAGGAUUGGGGCUUUUCCCCGUUUCGAUUAGGUGUUGUAUUUGAGUCUUUGGAAUAAGAUUGGAUGACCGAAUUUUUCAUUCGAGAAAUGAUAUUCGCAGUCGUGGAGUACGCAAGUGCCACACAUUCUAUUUGAAAAAAGUGAGUAAAUAUGAGACCCACUUGAAAAAAAUUAUUUUUUUUAAUAGUGGAUCUUACUCUUUUUCAAAGCGACUGCACGAUACUUGCACACUCUACAACUAUACGUCGCAUUACUCUUUUCAUUCGCAUUUUGGGUUUGUGACACAAGUGAAUUAUGGAUGUUGUGGUUAGGAUGUAAUUUAACUUUUCUAGUACUGUUAAUUAGAAUUAACAUGACCCUUUUAUUUUAUUUCCGCUGCGAAUUAUAGUUGUACACCAUUUAUUUUAAGCAUGUGUGCAUACACUUGUAGUCACAAUGAGUGAGGGGUGUAUGACCCGUGUGGCCAACAUCCAUUGCGGUCCUUGCCGAGACAAGGGCUGGGGUGUCAUAAACACCUCGAAUUUGGCCAUUUUAUCUGUUCCACUGAAUUCAGCCUAAUGUGUGAUAUUCUAUUUUUUUUUCUCUUAUGUAAGAUUAUUUAUAGCGAGAUACAUUCGCUGCAAAUAGCUUUUUUCAUUACAACAAAAUAGCUAUUUGCAAUGAAAGUAUUUCAUUGUAAAUAAACAUACUCUUUUGCAACCAAUGUACAUUUAGUUGUAAAUAAACAUACUCUUCAACAAAUGUACACAAAUGUACAAAUUAUCGUGAAGAUAGUAGCAACGGCGAUAAAUUUAUUUGCAACAAUAAAAUGAGUUAUGUGACU